AUAUAUAUUGAUGGUGCAUUAUUCUAGUCGUACUUAAGUUUAUGAGGGUGGGGCUAAAAAUCCACUAAAGGGCACAUCGUUGAAGUUUCUUGUUUGUGCGCGAAAUGCCAGUUUUGUGUGUAUCCAGGAAGUAAGAGAUUAGGGUAGUAUGUAAUGGCAUACAUAUGAUUCCCUGGUUUCGCGGAGGCUUAAAUAAAAGUAUAUGAAUCUUUAUACAUAAAAUUUAAGUAUAACCUAUGUUGAGUGCCAAGACACAAAAAACAUAGAGUAGCCUGUCUCGAGUGAAUAUAUUGGGAUUAGUUACAGAUAGGUAGAAUUAGCUUUUGGCCAAAUCUAUUUUACCAAUACUAUGAAACUAUAUUUGCAAAAAAGACUAAUAAACUUGUAAAAGUAUGUCAAGGAAAACUUCUAGAAUGUUUGCUUAAAAUCAAAUAAGCAUAGGAGUCUAGGGAUUAAGGUACAGAUUUAAGUGGCAAUCUGGUAUCUAUAAAAGUAGAUAUUUUCCUUAAAUGGAAACAGCUAUAACAGUAAUGUUAAGCGGAAAAUAGAGAAAUUCGACCAGACCUAAACUGUAAAAUUUACUUAGGCUUUUGCCAUCUAAACUAAAAA
rnacentral:sRNA from 1 species